GUCGCCUUAGCUCAGCUGGUAGAGUGUAUGGCUUUUAACCAUGUGGCCGUGGGUUUGAUUCUCACAGACGGCG
rfam:Cajanus cajan Scaffold000361_4, whole genome shotgun sequence.